rnacentral:tRNA from 1 species
ACUUAUGAAGUUUUAAACAUUUCAUUUUCAAUGAAAAAAAAGAAAUUUAAAUAUUUCUCAUAAAUA